rnacentral:rRNA from 1 species
AUGAUUACUGGAUCAAGAACAAUCCUUUUCCGUCCUUAUGUUCUUUUUAGUUCAAAUCAACCAAUUGUUUCAUGUCUAUCCAUCUUUAUGCAUUUUGGUAUGAACACUUUGCGUACUGUUACAAACAGGUAUGUAUUCUGCAAAAUACAUAUGCACAAUAUGUUAGGGAAUUUGUUGCAGAGAAAAACCUCUAAUUCUCAAAAAUAUUUCGCCAAGACUGCUGGUCAGAUAACAGCCAGAAAAAUUGUAGAGAAAAACAAAUUAGCAAGGAACUGUAUGUGCAUUUAUAUGUAUGCACAAUUUGUGCCUUUCAGUCUGUAA